UACGAAGGGGGCUAGCGUUGUUCGGAAUUACUGGGCGUAAAGCGUGCGCAGGCGGCUUCUCAAGUCAGGGGGUGAAAGCCCAGAGCUCAACUCUGGAACUGCCUUCGAUACUGGAGAGCUUGAGUCCGGGAGAGGUGAGUGGAACUGCGAGUGUAGAGGUGAAAUUCGUAGAUAUUCGCAAGAACACCAGUGGCGAAGGCGGCUCACUGGCCCGGUACUGACGCUGAGGUGCGAAAGCGUGGGGAGCAAACAGG
rnacentral:rRNA from 1 species